UUGGGGGUUGGGGACCGCAGCCCUGGGCAUUGCUUUGACGCGUAGAACAUCCUGAGUUGGUGUAUGAUGCAGCACUUGGCAGCGCGUCUGGAACACGUCUCCCAAAGUGCUUUUCAAUGUGAAACUUCAUCAGUUUCUCUGCUGUGCCGCCUUCUGUUGCCCGGGAGUUCCUGGUUCAUCCUGGCCACCCCGAAAGAUCACGGGGUCUUCCUGUGACUGUCAUUCUCAGGGUGCAAGUCUCCUUCCUGCCUCCUGGCGGCAGAAUAUAGGAGAGUGUGUCCUGGACUCUGGACUGGGAAUUAACACCCAGUGGGGACUGCACCAGGAUGACCCGGCCAGUUUCUUCCACCACUGAGUGUGGACUUCAGAUCAGAUCUCUUAGGACAGAGCCUUCGGGAAUUCCCAUGAUGUGAAUUUCCUGGGCCGGCAGGAAUAGCUGCCCGCCUACUGCUUCCAAGGGCUGAGGGAGGAGGGGUGCACGCUGCCCACGAGAAAGGAGACAGAGACUUCCACCCCCUGACACCUAAUUUAUCUCAUCGUCUGCACCACGUGCACGCUCUGCGUGAGACGCAGAGAUUCCUGACUCCUCUAGACCACGAGCACAGUGGUUUUCAACCUGGGGUGAUUUUGUCCCCCAAGGACAUGUGACAACAUCUGGAGACAUUUUACGUUGACACGAAUGGAGAGGGUGUUUACCAGCAUCCCAGGCUUCUAAACAUCCUGCGAUGAACAAGAUGGCUCCCCACAAAGAAGAAUGAGCUGGCCCCAAAUGCCAUUAGGGCUGAGCUUGAGAAAUCUGCUGCAGCAGGUCCGGCUGCUGUCGUCAUGAUUCUGCUACUAGCAUCUUUCCCCACUGCUAACGAGGGAAUCCAAUCCGUAGCGGGAUGGGAGACUAGUUAAUCAAACUUGCUAAGACUGGUUCUAAAAUAAGAGUAAAGAAUCCAGCCCCACGGACUACUCUCAUGAGUCAAGGGCAUGAGCUUUGUGAUCCUGACUUAGGUUUGACUGGGGCUCAGGAACUGCACUGAUGACUCAGUAGCUCUUAACAAGGCCAGAGGUGCCGGGGACAGGGAUUCUGGGCCUUCGAGAGCCGUGUUCACACACACAGAAUAGACCCUUCCCUAGGGCAGCAGUCUGGGCUCUCUGAUGCUCCAAGAGCCCUGGUUGAACCCUGGCCCACUCCUGUGGUUUGUGCCUCUUGUAUCUGGCCAUGGGAUCCUGGCGUGGCCUCCACCCCUCAGUGUUCAGUUUCUAGCCACGUCCCGUACUUCCCUCCAGCCCAUGAUUUGGCUGUGAUGCUCCAUCUUGUCCCCAGUGCUCCUCCUGGCUGCCACCCUGCAGCCAGGCAGAUAGAACAAUAGGCCCCCUUUCCUCCCUCUGGGUUUUCUACAGUGUUCUGCACGGGCAAGGGGGUCACACUCGUGACCCCUGGGGAAGCGAAGCUUGACCGUAUUUGGUUUGGGAAUGCACCAUUUCUGUGACGUGCCAACACUUUGUUCUUGGCUCAGGCUUGUUCAUUCCGAAUUUUUAAGGACUUCUUUGGUUGUGAGUGACAGAAAUUGACUCUGGCUGGGCUAAGCAAAACAGGAAACCUAUUGGAAAGACCCCAAAGACAUCUCAGGCAUUCUGGGGCAGAGCUCUGCCAGGCCUCAGGGGUGGACUAAAACCAGGGACAGUGGCACCGUGGAAGCGCAGCAAGGCCUCCCUCCCUUCUUUGCCCUCUGCCUCCUGCUCCUGCCUCCCCAUCUGCUUUCUGGGAUGUUCAGAACGUGGGGGCGAAAGUGCCCGGUGAAAACAACAGCAGCUGGGUUUACAUGUCUUCCAUCCAAGGGAGCAACCAGCCUGGGCUAGAACCUCUUGGUCAUGAUUCAACAUUCCUGGGGGGGGAAGGACUUCUUCCUUGUAGGUGUGCAAACAAAAUAUUAGGUAUCCAUGGUAGCACUUAUGUUGAUGGCCAAGAGGGGACAUUGAAAGAGAGCUUGUCAAAGGUGCAGAGGAGAGUUCCUGUGUUGGGUAAUGAGCUGUGAACGGCUGGGUGAGGGGGGCAGAUUGAAAUGAAACCAGAGGCACUUGGUAGCGCAAAUCCCACUCAGUGCAGCACACUUGUAGGAGACGCUGCUGUAGCUCUGAUCAGACUCAGACAGACAGAAAGCGACAGCAUCAGGCUGGGCCGUCUAGAACAGCGUCAGGGUCCUUGCAGGCGCCAGGGUGAGGGAUGGUGAGCUCUGCCGGGUCAGGACAGCUCAGGAGGAGCCACAGGAGGGAAGUGGUGUUUGAGCUGAGCCUUGAGGGAUGAAGGGAACACCUGGGGGGCUCAGCACGUGAAGGACUUACCUGGAGCUCAUGAAAAGCCCCCGAGACGUGGGUGACUGCAAGUGCGACAUCCGUGGGAGGAUUUCUACUUUCCCCUUUUCUCAUGGUCCUCUCUCUGUUCAGCCUGUUUUAGUUUCCUAACAAAUGACCACAAAUUCAGUGGCUGAAACAAUAUAAAUUUAUUCU